CAAAAACAUGUCUUAUUGUUAAUAAUUUUAAGUCUAGCCUGCUCAAUGAAUAUUUAUUUUAAUAGCCAUAGUAUUUUAACUAUGCAAAGGUAGCAUAAUCAUUUGUCUUUUAAUUGAAGGCUUGUAUGAAGGGUUUGACGAGGGGUAGACUUUCUUAAUUUAAAUUUAAUUAAACUUAACUUCUAGGUAAAAAGGCUUAGAUAUAGUUUUGGGACGAGAAGACCCUAUAGAAUUUUAUUAUUAUAUUUUAUUUUUGUUAUUAUAUUAAUAAGAGUUAUUUGUAAUAAUUUUGUUGGGGUGACAGUGGAAUUUUUUUAACUUCUAUUAUUUAUAUUUCAUUAAUUAGUGUUUUAUUGAUCCUUUAUUAUGGAUUAUAAGAUUAAAUUACCUUAGGGAUAACAGCGUAAUUUUUUUGGAGAGUUCUUAUCGAUGAAAUAGUUUGCGACCUCGAUGUUGGAUUAAAGUUAAUUAUUAGUGCAGAAAUU
rnacentral:rRNA from 1 species